AUUGACGGAGGCCCGGUCCAUCUCUCUGCCUGUCUGCGCGUGUCGUCUGUCAUGCUAAUGUUUUUAGCGGUUCCCUUCUCGAGCCUCGUCGGGCUCCACUUUUCGUCCGUCUUCGACCAACCCACGUCCGGUCUGGAGUAAAAUCACCGCUUACUUGUAUGUUACCACCGAGUAGACAAAAGUGUGAAGACGACUGUCAAAAGUACUCAGCCAAUUCAUUUCUUGGGGUGUCUACGUAAAUACCUAUUCAGAAAUAAACUACGUGAGUCAUUACAGCAAUACCCAGCGUGUCCAUCGAGGAUCGUGAAUUUGGAUUGUAUUCCUCUAAUUGUUUUUCCAUAUUUUUAUACUUAUUUUUUAAAUGUUCUAAUAUUUGUUUUACUAUUUUGUCUUUAUUCUUGAAUCAUCUAUCUUCCCAAACUAUUUCUGCAAACCUCUCUGCCCCCCUCCUAAAAUGACGAUUCCUUCUUCAUAUAAAUAUUCUCCCCCUUGUAAAAUUACGACUUUUUGCCAUUUGAUUUUUACUGUAACAAAAACAAGUUUGUCAGCCGCAAGCAGUGGCUGACAAAACAUUAUUUCACUGAAACAAAAGACCCCCCUGCGCAGGUUUUGCUUUGGUUUGAACAAUGUUUUGUUCAGCUCAGCUCUUCUGGUGUGGCGAGAGAUUUGUCUGCAAAUUAUUCACACUAAAAUUGUGCAUCUG